GAUGAAGAACGUAGCGAAAUGCGAUAAGUAAUGUGAAUUGCAGAAUCCAGUGAAUCAUCGAAUCUUUGAACGCACAUUGCGCCCGCCAGCAUUCUGGCGGGCAUGCCUGUUCGAGCGUCAUUUCAACCCUCGACCUCCCUUUGGGGAAGUCGGCGUUGGGGACCGGCAGCACACCGCCGGCCCUGAAAUGGAGUGGCGGCCCGUCCGCGGCGACCUCUGCGUAGUAAACCAACUCGCACCGGGAGCCCGACGCGGCCACUGCCGUAAAACGCCCAACUUUUACCGAGUUGACCUCGAAUCAGGUAGGAAUACCCGCUGAACUUAAGCAUAUCAAUAAGCGGAGGA
rnacentral:misc_RNA from 1 species